rnacentral:rRNA from 1 species
GGCGAACGGGUGAGUAACGCGUGGGCAAUCUGCCCUCUAGCCUGGGAUAACAGUUCGAAAGGACUGCUAACACCGGAUAUGAUGGUAUCGCGGCAUCGCGAAGCCAUGAAAGUUUACACUAGAGGAUGAGCCCGCGUCCCAUUAGCUAGUUGGUAAGGUAACGGCUCACCAAGGCGACGAUGGGUAGCCGACCUGAGAGGGUGAUCGGCCACACUGGGACUGAGACACGGCCCAGACUCCUACGGGAGGCAGCAGUAGGGAAUUUUCGGCAAUGGGCGCAAGCCUGACCGAGCAACGCCGCGUGAGGGAUGAAGGUCUUCGGAUCGUAAACCUUUGUCUAGAGGGACGAUAAUGACGGUACCUCUGGAGGAAGCCACGGCUAACUACGUGCCAGCAGCCGCGGUAAUACGUAGGUGGCGAGCGUUGUCCGGAAUUACUGGGCGUAAAGGGCGUGUAGGCGGCUUUUUAAGUCAGACGUGAAAUCCCUGGGCUUAACCCAGGACCUGCGUUUGAAACUGGAAGGCUUGAGGACCGGAGAGGGUAGUGGAAUUCCCAGUGUAGCGGUGAAAUGCGUAGAUAUUGGGAGGAACACCAGUGGCGAAGGCGACUGCCUGGACGGCACCUGACGCUGAGGCGCGAAAGCCAGGGGAGCGAACGGGAUUAGAUACCCCGGUAGUCC